AAACCCAAGGGCUGUCUACAGCAACACGGCCUGCAAUGGAAUAAAGACCCAGAAGCCAACAGCAGCGAGGCCGGAGACACAGAAAACACAACCAGAGUCUUCAGGGCAGCAACAGGAGAUGCAGCUUUAAGGGUCCAUCAGGCAGGAAGAACGACCCGGAAGAGGCUUGCCUCAGGCCAGACCCAAUGACUUUGGCUGGGUGUAUCCCUACUACAGUGAGAUGUGAACUCUGGAACCUCUCAAGCUACAAGCCAUUCCCCACAGGAUUAUCUGCCUUCACUUUUCUAAUGUAACAACUGCUUUCCAAGGCAGUGUAGCACAGGUGAUUAAGAGUGGAUACUGCUGCAAGAUUGCCUGGAUUUCGAAGCUGGCUCUACUACUUACUGGCUGUGCAAUCUUGCGCAAGCCACUUAACCUGUCUGUGGUUCAGUUCCCUUAGCUAUAAAAAGGAGACAGAAAUAGUACCUACCUCACACGUUGCUAUGAGGAUUAAUUGAAAUAAUAUAAAUAGAAAGCACCAAGAAUAGUGUGGCACAGAGAGUAUUAUGUAAGUGUAUGCUAUAAUUAUUAAUGAUACCUUCUAUUUUCAUAAAUGUUUUUCCCUUUAUUAAGAGUUUUGUAAAGGAAUUAAUCUUGUAUAGUUCAUACCUGUGUUCCUCCAUUGCAUAGAGCAUAGCUUUUAUUUGCUAUAGCAAAUAACAUUUUUGCAAAUAGCAAAGAAAAUUUUGUUGAAUAAAUAAAUGAGUGAAUGAAUUCCUAUA